rnacentral:rRNA from 1 species
AGAGACAGCAGUCGCCGCGGGAAAACGUAGGUGGCAAGCGUUGUCCGGAAUUAUUGGGCGUAAAGGGCUCGCAGGCGGUUUCUUAAGUCUGAUGUGAAAGCCCCCGGCUCAACCUGGGGGCUGCGUUUGAUACUUGGUUGCUUGAGUGGGGAAGAGGUGAGUGGAAUUCCCAGUGUAGAGGUGAAAUUCGUAGAUAUUCGGAAGAACACCAGUGGCGAAGGCGACAUACUGGUCCAUUACUGACGCUGAGGCUCGAAAGCGUGGGGAGCAUCAGGAUUAGAUACCCCCGUAGUCCCUGUCUCUUAUACA